rnacentral:rRNA from 1 species
AGUCGACGGCAGCCAGCAGUAGCAAUACUGUGGGUGGCGAGUGGCGGACGGGUGAGUAAUGCAUCGGGACCUGCCCAGACGUGGGGGAUAACGUAGGGAAACUUACGCUAAUACCGCAUACGUCCUACGGGAGAAAGCGGGGGAUCGAAAGACCUCGCGCGGUUGGAUGGACCGAUGUUCGAUUAGCUUGUUGGCGGGGUAAUGGCCCACCAAGGCGACGAUCGAUAGCUGGUCUGAGAGGAUGAUCAGCCACACUGGGACUGAGACACGGCCCAGACUCCUACGGGAGGCAGCAGUGGGGAAUAUUGGACAAUGGGCGCAAGCCUGAUCCAGCAAUGCCGCGUGUGUGAAGAAGGCCUUCGGGUUGUAAAGCACUUUUAUCAGGAGCGAAACUACUGCCGGUUAAUACCCGGCGGAACUGACGGUACCUGAGGAAUAAGCACCGGCUAACUUCGUGCCAGCAGCCGCGGUAAUACGAAGGGUGCAAGCGUUAAUCGGAAUUACUGGGCGUAAAGCGUGCGUAGGCGGUUUGUUAAGUCUGUUGUGAAAUCCCCGGGCUCAACCUGGGAAUGGCAAUGGAUACUGGCAAGCUAGGGUGUGAUAGAGGAUGGUGGAAUUCCCGGUGUAGCGGUGAAAUGCGU